CACCGAAUGCCUAAGGUUUCCUGAGGAAGGCUCGUCCGCUCAGGGUUAGUCGGGACCUAAGCCGAGGCCGAAAGGCGUAGGCGAUGGACAACAGGUUGAUAUUCCUGUACCACCUCCUCACCAUUUGAGCAAUGGGGGACGCAGGAGAUAAGAUUAAGGCGGUAUUGGAUAUCCGCGUCCAAGCAGUUAGGCUGGGAAAUAGGCAAAUCCGUUUCCCAUAAGGCUGAGCUGUGAUGGCGAGCGAAAUAUAGUAGCGAAGUUCCUGAUUCCACACUGCCAAGAAAAAGCUUUGGCGAGGUGAGAGGUGCCCGUACCGCAAACCGACACAGGUAGGCGAGGAGAGAAUCCUAAGGUGAUCGGGAGAACUCUCGUUAAGGAACUCGGCAAAAUGACCCCGUAACUUCGGGAGAAGGGUGCUCUGUUAGGUGCAAGCCCGAGAGAGCCGCAGUGAAUAGGCCCAGGCGACUGUUUAGCAAAACACAGGUCUCUGCGAAGCUUGUAAGGCGAAGUAUAGGGGCUGACGCCUGCCCGGUGCUGAAGGUUAAGAGGAGCGCUUAGCGUAAGCGAAGGUGCGAAUUGAAGCCCCAGUAAACGGCGGCCGUAACGAUAACGGUCCUAAGGUAGCGAAAUUCCUUGUCGGGUAAGUUCCGACCCGCACGAGGCGCAACGAUCUGGGCACUGUCUCAACGAGAGACUCGGUGAAAUUAUAGUACCUGAAGAUGCAGGUUACCCGCGACAGGACGGAAAGACCCCGUGGAGCUUUACUGCAGCCUGAUAUUGAAUGUUGGUACAGCUUGACAGGAUAGGUAGGAGCCUUGAAACCGGAGCGCCAGCUUCGGUGGAGGCAUCGGUGGGAUACUACCCUGGCUGUAUUGACCUUCUAACCCGCCGCCCUUAUCGGGCGGGGAGACAGUGUCAGGUGGGCAGUUUGACUGGGGCGGUCGCCUCCUAAAGGUAACGGAGGCGCCCAAAGGUUCCCUCAGAAUGGUUGAAAUCAUUCGCAGAGUGUAAAGGCACAAGGAGCUUGACUGCGAGACCUACAAGUCGAGCAGGGACGAAAGUCGGGCUUAGUGAUCCGGUGGUUCCGCAUGGAAGGGCCAUCGCUCAACGGAUAAAAGCUACCCCGGGGAUAACAGGCUUAUCUCCCCCAGAGUUCACAUCGACGGGGAGGUUUGGCACCUCGAUGUCGGCUCAUCGCAUCCUGGGGCUGUAGUCGGUCCCAAGGGUUGGGCUGUUCGCCCAUUAAAGCGGUACGCGAGCUGGGUUCAGAACGUCGUGAGACAGUUCGGUCCUAUCCGUCGCGGGCGCAGGAAAUUUGAGAGAGCUGUCCUUAGUACGAGAGGACCGGGAUGGACGCACCGCUGGUGUACCAGUUGUUCUGCCAAGGGCAUCGCUGGUAAGCUAUGUGCGGACGGGAUAAGUGCUGAAAGCAUCUAAGCAUGAAGCCCCCUCAAGAUGAGAUUUCCCAUUCCGCAAGGAAGUAAGAUCCCUGAAAGAUGAUCAGGUUGAUAGGUCUGAGGUGGAAGUGUGGCAACACAUGGAGCUGACAGAUACUAAUCGAUCGAGG
rnacentral:rRNA from 1 species